AGCUCGUGCGGGACAUCGUGGUACGGGUCGACGUGGCCGGGUCGAGGACCUAGUAACACAACGAUUACCUCUUGCUUUACCCGGGCUCUCCGGAUUCCAUCAAUCGGCCAAUUCAUCUGCUUCCUCCAUUGAUUCAAGUGCUGCGAUGAAUGCAAACCAAGACCCGCUUGAUCCACAUCUCCAACCAAGUCUCCAACCCUCACCAUCCAACCCGCCUACUGAUCACUCCAACAGAAAUUCCAAUCGUCCCUCGAUCCAGACUAAACGGAAGUUAUUACCUGAAGAAAAAGGCAAAGCAAAGGCUACAUAUUCACGAGACUCGACCAUCAAAACAUACAGACGUAGGGGGGCUGCCCUCGUCAUCCGCGAGCCAACUGAAGAAGAAUCUCGAGUUGACUUUUCAUCCUGUCAAAAAGAUACUGAAGAUGACACAGCCUCUUCAUCCGCUCUCCGUCUCCGAUUGACAAGGAUCCCAUGUCAGAGUGAAAUAGUUGAAUCAUAGGCUGCUGCCACAAAUCAUGUAGUUGCUAAUUUAGC
rnacentral:lncRNA from 1 species